rnacentral:precursor_RNA from 10 species
AUUAACGUAUAAGUUCUACAAGCGCCUGCGUAUUCGGAAAUGUAGGGUGGACGUUAUCAUAAUUCGACCAUUCUGUGUUUCGAAUGCGUAAGUGCUGUGUACUCACGUCUGUCUCCAG